rnacentral:rRNA from 1 species
UACGUAGGUGGCGAGCGUUAUCCGGAAUGAUUGGGCGUAAAGGGGGCGCAGACGGCGAUGCAAGCCAGGAGUGAAAGCCCGGGGCCCAACCCCGGGACUGCUCUUGGAACUGCGUGGCUGGAGUGCAGGGGGGGCAGGCGGAAUUCCUGGUGUAGCGGUGAAAUGCGUAGAUAUCAGGAGGAACACCGGUGGCGAAGGCGGCCUGCUGGACUGCAACUGACGUUGAGGCCCGAAAGCGUGGGGAGCAAAUAGG